CGUAACACGGGUUCACGUAUGUAAUGAAACACGUAUUGUUAUAAGACUUCUAGUCUAUAGCUAAUCAUUUACCUUACUAAGGGAUCGUUUAUUAUAAAGUUGGACUUUGAAGUGGAAAGGAGUUAUGGCUCUUGUGAUCAAGUAUGUAUGGACAUUUGGUACUCGUAAACUUAUGCAUUCAAGGAGUCGGGACAUAUUAACCUUCUCACGAAGUAGGUUGAGCAAAAAUAAUUGGUUUGUUUUUUCCUGUCUAUUUUGUAGUGAAAAGAAAUUUUAUAUUUUAUGACUGGCAAGUAAUAAUGCUGAAGGUGGUUAAUGUUUAAUAAAAAUCCAGCAAGAUUGAACUCUUUCGACAAGUUUGUUCUCGAUCUGAAGAUUCCAAACAAUUGAUCAAUUAUCUAAUA